rnacentral:tRNA from 1 species
GGGGGCAUAACUUAGCGGUAGAGCACAUGCUUAGCAUACAUGAGGUCAUGGGUUCAAUUCCCCAUACCUCCA